rnacentral:rRNA from 1 species
CAAUAGCGUAUAUUAAAGUUGUUGCGGUUAAAAAGACUCGUAGUUGGAUUUCUGCCGAGGACGACCGGUCCGCCCUGUGGGUGAGCAUCUGGAUCGGCCUGGGCAUCUUCUUGGGGAACGUAGCUGCACUUGACUGUGUGGUGCGGUAUCCAGGACUUUUACCUUGAGGAAAUUAGAGUGUUUCAAGCAGGCGCACGCCUUGAAUACAUUAGCAUGGAAUAAUAAGAUAGGACCUCGGUUCUAUUUUGUUGGUUUCUAGAGCUGAGGUAAUGAUUAAUAGGGAUAGUUGGGGGCGAUUCGUACUGCAGCGUUAGAGGUGGAAAUUACUUGGAUCGCUGCAAGACGAACAACAAGCGUAAAGACAUUUGGUCGAAGAAACGUUUUCCA